GGUUAAGUGACUAAGCGUACACGGUGGAUGCCUUGGCAGUCAGAGGCGAUGAAAGACGUAGUAACUUGCGAUAAGCCCAGAUUAGGUAGUAACAACCAUUUGAGUCUGGGAUUUCUGAAUGGGGAAACCCACUUACAUAAGUAAGUAUCAUUAACUGAAUACAUAGGUUAAUGAGGCGAACCGGGGGAACUGAAACAUCUAAGUACCCCGAGGAAAAGAAAUCAACCGAGAUUCCGAAAGUAGCGGCGAGCGAAAUUGGACUAGCCCUUAAGCUUUACACGCGUUAGACGAACGGUCUGGAAAGUCCGACGAUACAGGGUGAUAGUCCCGUAGUUGACGACGUGUGUUCAGUGAAAUCGAGUAGGGCGGGACACGUGAUAUCCUGUCUGAAUAUGGGGGGACCAUCCUCCAAGGCUAAAUACUACUGACUGACCGAUAGUGAACCAGUACCGUGAGGGAAAGGCGAAAAGAACCCCUGUGAGGGGAGUGAAAUAGAACCUGAAACCGUGUACGUACAAGCAGUAGGAGCAGGCUUUGUCCUGUGACUGCGUACCUUUUGUAUAAUGGGUCAGCGACUUAUAUUCAGUGGCAAGGUUAACCAUCUAGGGGAGCCGUAGGGAAACCGAGUCUUAACUGGGCGUUCAGUCUCUGGAUAUAGACCCGAAACCAGGUGAUCUAGCCAUGGGCAGGUUGAAGGUUGAGUAACAUCAACUGGAGGACCGAACCGACUAAUGUUGAAAAAUUAGCGGAUGACUUGUGGCUAGGGGUGAAAGGCCAAUCAAACCUGGAGAUAGCUGGUUCUCCCCGAAAGCUAUUUAGGUAGCGCCUCGGACGAAUACUACUGGGGGUAGAGCACUGUUAAGGCUAGGGGGUCAUCCCGACUUACCAACCCUUUGCAAACUCCGAAUACCAGUAAGUACUAUCCGGGAGACACACGGCGGGUGCUAACGUCCGUCGUGGAGAGGGAAACAACCCAGACCGCCAGCUAAGGUCCCAAAUUACUACUAAGUGGGAAACGAUGUGGGAAGGCUCAGACAGCCAGGAUGUUGGCUUAGAAGCAGCCAUCAUUUAAAGAAAGCGUAAUAGCUCACUGGUCGAGUCGGCCUGCGCGGAAGAUGUAACGGGGCUAAGUAGUAAACCGAAGCUGCGGCAAUACUCUUUGAGUAUUGGGUAGGGGAGCGUUCUGUAAGCGGUUGAAGGUGUGUGGUAACGCAUGCUGGACGUAUCAGAAGUGCGAAUGCUGACAUGAGUAACGAUAAAGGGGGUGAAAAACCUCCUCGCCGGAAGACCAAGGGUUCCUGUCCAACGUUAAUCGGGGCAGGGUAAGUCGACCCCUAAGGCGAGGCCGAAAGGCGUAGUCGAUGGGAAACGGGUUAAUAUUCCCGUACUUCUUACAAUUGCGAUGGGGGGACGGAGAAGGCUAGGUGGGCCUGGCGACGGUUGUCCAGGUUCAAGUGCGUAGGCUUAAGA
rnacentral:rRNA from 1 species